rnacentral:rRNA from 1 species
UUAAAUGGCCGCAGUAUUUUAACUGUGCUAAGGUAGCAUAAUCAUUAGUUUUUUAAUUAAAAACUGGAAUGAAAGGUUGGAUGAAAUAAAAACUGUCUCUAAUUAAUUUUAAUUGAAAUUUAUUUUUAAGUUAAAAAGCUUAGAUUAUAUUAAAAGACGAGAAGACCCUAUAGAGUUUUAUUUAAUUUUAUAGUUUUUUAUUUAGGCUUAAUUUAAAAAUUAUUUAAUUAAAUUUAAUUGGGGUGAUUUAAAAAUUUAAUUAACUUUUUAUUAUUAAAAUAUUGUUUUAUAAAUGAUUGAUCUUUUUUUUAUGAUUAUAAGAAAAAAUUACCUUAGGGAUAACAGCGUAAUUUUAUUGGAGAGUU